AGGGGGGUGGAGGGAGAAGGCUCUGAUAGGGGAGAUGACUCUGAGGAGGAAAUGGCUCUGUGACAAACCCCUUUUUUUUUUUUACAGGAGUUUGCCACAAGCUCCUGGAGGAGCCUGCUUGCCAGCCUCCUGCCCACAGACUAUGGACCUGGUGAAAUAUAAUGUUAAAGUCUCCGUGUGUGCCUGUUUGGACUUAUAUGGCCACACUUCGAACUUUCGAAGCGGCAUUUCGAAAUACCGAACAACUGCACCAACCACAGACCCUGGAACUUGUUA